GUUUUCUCAAUGCAGUGUCAUAAAGAGAGGCAAAGAAAGGAACCAUAAGACUACCCUGGUAUUAUGGGAUCUGACAGUUGCAUAGGUUGUUGCGCGCGAAUAGGUUAAUUGUCCCCUUAGAAAGGACAACAUAAACCAGCAACGAGAAUCAGUUGGUAUUAAUACGCGUGUCAGUCUACCUGAACCAGGGGUUUGGGUCCGGCUUAGGAUGAGGCGAGUGUGGCAGUAGGGAAGUUGUGGAUCUGGGUAGCUAGGAUCCUCGAGAAAUGUGAAGGAGAGGAGAGGAUAGGAAGGAAGGAGAGAUGAAAAGAAGAGACGGAGGAAGGGACAGCGCAGGUAAGUACAGGCGUGUGCCUGGCCGUGAAACGCCAUGAAACGGUACGUGAAACGCCGUGAAACACAGCUGGCCGAGCCGGGACUGACUACGAGCGAGGGGCCCAUGGGGACGUACCGAGUCUCGUCUAGAGGUGAGAUACCGGCCGCCAGGUGGCUCCACCAGCAGCGUCCAAGCGCACGAUGCCCGAUCAGUCGUCCGGGCGCCUCCGUAUCGUGAGCACCUCGCGUUUGUUUGUAUUCUUAAAACCGGCAGGAGAAUGCAAACGCUCCAAGUAUCGGCGGCCUUUUGUGAGAGAUCGUAACGGCCUAAGUAGGAUCGUUUGAGUAUCUUUGAAAAAGUGACGAGAUAAUAUCGCGGCCACAUGUGAUCUCCGAGGACGUGUCCUAGGGAUACUCUUGAGGAUCUUCGGGAUCUAGACCGGAAGCAAGAAGCCAGGGCCUACUGGAUCAUGCAGCAGCAAGAGCAGCAGGAGCCGACGGAUCUUCAGGAUGUCGAAGCCUCGGACACGAGUGCGUUGGAUCUGGGACCGAUCGGGACUUUACCGAAUCUCACACUUCAGAGUGUCGCUUUGGGACUUCAGGGUGCAUUACUGGCAGCCCUGCAGAGGGCUGCGUUGCUACCACCUGGUCAUGCUGCUGCCGCGGCCCUCAAUCUUCAAGCUCUAGAGACGUACUUGACACUUCAUAGGCUUCAUGCCAGUUCCACGACUCCCACAUCGCCGACCACCUCGGCGAACAAUAAUCCUGCGAGUCCGAGGUCUACCUCGUUACCGAGCAACUCGAGUUCCUCCACCUUAAAGACUGAUCACCUCGUGGAGGUACUGCCGACAUCGCUCGACGAGGAUGACGCUUCGCAUUUAGACUUCGUCACAGAUCCCGAGGAGGAUCUAGCACUUUUGGAAGAAGAGGAUGCUAUGCUACGAGAAAGUUCAAGUUCCACCUCGACGAAUCAGGAUAUUCUCUUUCAAAGGAUAACCGAAGGGAGUCCAGGAAAUGUCAGUGCCGCGCCGACGGCACUGGUGUCCGUUGUGCCAACUUCCGUCCCAGCCAGCUCGUCCACAACGGAUACUGGAAUUGUCAGGCCGUGCAGAGCGUCUAGGCCUAAGAAACAAUUUAUCUGCAAGUUUUGCAAUCGUCAAUUCACAAAGAGCUACAAUCUUCUGAUACACGAAAGGACUCAUACCGAUGAGAGACCUUAUUCCUGCGACAUAUGUGGAAAAGCAUUCCGUCGUCAGGAUCAUCUUCGAGAUCACAGGUACAUUCACAGCAAGGAAAAACCCUUCAAAUGUGCCGAAUGCGGUAAAGGAUUCUGCCAGAGCAGAACCUUGGCAGUCCACAAAAUACUUCACAUGGAAGAGUCGCCGCACAAGUGUCCCGUCUGCGCGAGAAGUUUUAAUCAGCGCAGCAAUUUAAAGACACAUCUCUUAACGCACACGGAUAUAAAGCCGUACCAUUGCGCCUCCUGCGGGAAGGUCUUCCGUAGGAACUGUGAUCUCAGAAGGCACUCGUUGACCCAUAACCUGGGGGUAGCAUCAUCGCCGCCACCGCCAUCCUCAGGAAUUCCUGUACCUGGAACGAGUACCGCCGUCCUCCAGGAAACUUCCUAGCCCCUAAAAUCUUCGAAGACAUCGUAAUACCCGGCAGCCCAUGCGAAUUCGUACCCGCCGUUAAAAGGACUUUAGAACACGUUAGCGUCUAAUUAUUAUCGUCCAUUAAGAUAGGUUCGUGCUCACUAGAUCUGUAAUUAUGUCAAUAACACAGAGUAUUACGUUUGUUAAGUGAAUACCUGUGUAUGUGCCUGUGUUCGACCGUACGUGUAAAAUAAAUUUUUAUUAUUAUUUUUUAAUAAGUGAUCCUUCCAUUGUUAGCAACGUGUCAUAAUCUCAGUAAACAUCAGCUCCACUCUGGCUCGUCCUUGACUAUGGCUCUGUACGCUUUUGGGCCCGUUGAUCUCUCGACUGACAUACUCACGAUGAUCAUGUUAACCAAGCAGGGCCCAGCCUUCUAAAGAUUCUCAUAAAGGUCUAGUUCAUCCAGUCAUUUCUUGAGGUCCCCCAUCUCUUCCUUCCUCUUCCUUCCUCCGCUUCCACGAAAUUUCUCAGCUGAUCACGAUGAAGUCGACAAUUUCAUUCCUCCCUGAUUUCUAGCCCAAUCUUCUUGGAGGAUGUGUACGGGGGCCAGACGAUGGGACUGCGGCCCGUUGCGCGUCAUACGACGUCGGGCUAAUUAAUUAGGCGGUUUUCUAUCCGUGCUCGCAGUUAUAAAUAAAGGAACAAAAAGUUGAGUAUCGUGUUACAAAGACAGGCCGCCAGGUGCGCAAGACAUGACACCGUGAUACGUCUAGGGUUACGUUUCUUUCUCGAGUGGGUCCCGCCGAAUAGGGGCCUAACGCUGCUAGUGUCUUUUCAACCAGGCAGCCAUCUACCUAUUGGGGACCGAUAAGCCGACGCGUGCAGCUUAUUCGUAUCGGGGCUCCAAUGAAUAUCCUGAACACCACGAACACCGUUAACACACACAACACUCUGAACACCCACCGGUGUAACGAGCCCACCCCCUCUCCUCCGCCACCUUCAUUUAUAGUUUCAUAAUGCUGGUACGUUCCGAUGCUUACCGUGACUUACGACGACAUUACAUCCGGAAAACGAAGGUGGAGGUGGUUGGUGCUGUACGAGAAAGUCCGAAGAAUCUUCUCUGUUACUUCCACCAUUAUCCAUUCUAUGAACGGAACGCAGCACAGGAAGUGACGCGACAUCAGAGCCGUUCCGCCAGCAAAGGAUAAGAGACACGUAACGAGAGAAUGGCAAAGGUCCUUCGGGCCCGUUCAGGAUACACGAAGUCCUGAAGGAGGUCCGGUCCUGAUUGGCGAGGUCUUUGCGAUGUACACGGUGUGCCUACGAAAUACGAACGGGCGGACAGGAUGACGGACGGCAGGACGCCCUGGGCAACCAAGUGGUGACUCGCGUGCGACACAAACUAACACACUCGCCCACGCAUCUGAACUUAGUUCUCCUCAGCCUUCGCCAUCACCAUCACAAUCGCAAGCACCGUCGUAAGACCAUCGUAACAUCAGAAAAAGAGUAGAUAUACCUACCUACAUACAUAGAUA